UGGAGGCUUUGGGCUUGGAAUUAUGAUGGGUAAAGAGUUUCUAUAUGGAUAGAAAGCAUUGUUAAAUUCAGUAUUAUAAGGCACAUGGCUAUAUUCGAGCAAAAAAAGAAUAAAUACAGGUGGUUUUUCACGCAGUUAUAAUGCAUAUUGGUAAAAUUUUGGUACUCCUUAUAUGCAGAGAGCUUGGGAGCCGGUUGUGGACACAUGUGCAAAUUAUAAUGGAUGAGAAAGAAUUAUUGCUAAUAUGUCAUUACAAAAACUCUUAACGGGAGAGGUCGGAGGCUAUGCGGUUGGAGAAUCAACAGUGGUUUAUGAUUUGGAUUCCUAUCAAAAUUUGGAGAUUCCCACUUGAUCCAAUAUCUCCUCUGUCCACGAAUAAUAAAUUCUAAAUCGGUUCUAAUUUGGAAACAAUCAUAGAAGUUGGUGAUUUGUGCUCUACCACAAUGAAAUUCUACAUCAGCCAUGGCUUUCAGUUGCCUAAAAAUGGAAGAUAACUCACAUGAGUCUAUUGUCUCUUCUUCGAUUAAAAUUCUUUGAGGCAUUGUCUUUUGGUAUGACAUUACUUUGGUGUUUUGAUAUUUGUUUUCGUGUUUUUGCAAAUUCUUCUAUAUUGGGUCAGUACAGAGCAAAUAUUGUAUUGUUGGCAUACUACUGUAGGAAGUAUGCCAGCAAUAUUAGGCUACAGGUUUAAAUCUCCCCUACUAUGGUCCAAACUCAGCAAUUAGUAGAAUAGUCAAGGAACAUAUUAUUAAGGAAGAUAGUGCGUACUUAUAGUGAGAUGUGAAAUAUGUCAACAAGCUAUAAUUCUGACAGUAGACAUGUAUCAGCAACUGCAACAGAACCUGCAACACUACCUCCAGCAGUUGUAACGUCAGCAAGCCACUUUCUCCAAUCACGGUGAUAAUGGUACCUAGAGUAGGUGAUAGAGCACCAAAUCCAGCAGCAAUUGGUGGAGCGGCUAAGUCUGUUAAAUAGUGUAUAAGCUGAUUAUGAGAAUCCUUUGGUUCUUUAUUAAAGCUUCGUUAAAAUUUCCUCAGAAAUAGGGAUAGUAUUAUUCCACCAGUAAUCGCCAUAAGGUUAAAUGAAGGGUCUGCUGGUAUGGAAUGUUUUUGAGGCAUGGAUUCUUUCAAGUGGCUGUAGGUGUGCUGAUACUGAGGUUCCACCUUUCAAGCAGCCACCCUCACACUGAUCUUUUGAUGUGUCUUUCAAGCAUCUUUGUAGGAGCAUCCGGCCUUUCAUGUUUAUUUUAUUUGUUAUCUGAGGUUCCAUGGAGAUCAAUAAGCUUUAUCUCAGUUUCUGUAUACCUCAACAUAUCACUCAUCAGUUAUCACUGUCUUAGUAGCAGGAGUAGUGGACAUGUCCGGGACAGGAUCAGUAGAAUACAUUUCAUCAAUCUCAUCAUCAGAUCUAUCAUUAACUCUUUUCAGGGACUUGCAAGCAAAACUUUUUUGUAUUCUUUGGUGAGAUCAUAGGACUUUGGGUCGGGUUUCGUGAAGGAUGAAAAAAAUACCCAGAAGCCUCUUUUAUGGAUUCCAAGCUCAGCUUCUCCGAUAACAAGGAGAAUGAUACCGCUCGGAAAUGGUGCUGGACUAAAAUUUCGAAUGAAAAUGCACUGGUAAAUGUAUGAUUUACAGACAUUAAUUUUGUGAAUAUAUAAUAUUAUCUCAAUAGAAUUCCAACAUUUAUACAGCGCACAUGCGAAAUUCCCAUGAUACUGCUCUCGAUAGGUAUCUGUAUGAUCGGAUGAUUAGGAUUCAACAAAGCAAGCGUUCAACUUCGCAUCCAGAUUCAGUGUUGGAUAAGCCAAAUAUUAUUAAGAACUAUAUUUCUAUGAGUUGUGGCUGAGCGUCUUGGCUCUUUACACUCGAUAGUGAUGUAUGGCUUCCUGAUUCCUUAUAUCUGUUUAAUGAUUUUGAAUUUUAAAAAUCUUUGUAACAUUUAAACUUAGUUGCUUAUCUAAUGUACAAACAUUGGACGCUUCGUGUCCGUGUCCCUGCCCCCUUUCUCUUCCUUGGGCUUUGGGUUUUUGUCCAACUUCCAACUCAAUAUCUUAGUCAUCCUUCUUUUCGUUUAUUUUUUAAAUUUGUCCACUUUGUAGGAACUACCGGUACACACUAUUGUAAUGCCUGCUAAGUGGAAUUCUUUACAUCAGAUUAUAGCUGAAGGCAACCUGUACAUUGUGUCAAAUUUUUAUACUAGGCAAGCAACUCGAGGACUUAGGCCUGUUUCUACCCCCAAAGUGCAUUGUCUUUACACAAAUGAUCAGUGUUGAAUUAAUAAAUGAAUAGGACUACACUGUACCACUCAACAUAUUUGUGUUUGUAAAGAUUGACGACCCGUACGAUGUUUCAGGCAAUGGUUGAGGUUCCCGCAGAUACUAUUGUUGUGUUUGGUUGAGAGGAAUGAAAUUUGUUAAGAAUGGAAUGAGAUUAGGAAUGGAAUGGUGAGAGAAUGGAAAGAAGGUUGAAUGGAAUGAUCAAUUCAAAGUUUGGUUAUU